AUACGGAGGGGGCUAGCGUUGUUCGGAAUUACUGGGCGUAAAGCGCGUGUAGGCGGAUCGUUAAGUCAGGGGUGAAAGCCCGGGGCUCAACCCCGGAACUGCCCUUGAUACUGGCGAUCUAGAGUCUGGAAGAGGUGGGCGGAAUUCCCGGUGUAGAGGUGAAAUUCGUAGAUAUCGGGAGGAAUACCAGUGGCGAAGGCGGCUCACUGGUCCGGUACUGACGCUGAGACGCGAAAGCGUGGGGAGCAAACAGGAUUAGAAACCCCAGUAGUCC
rnacentral:rRNA from 1 species